AUGGAUGUGAUUGUAGAUUUUCUGGUCACCGGCGUUUACUUAGGUUUCCGCCUUGAGCGGCGGGUGCAAUUCGUUUCCGUAUUAUUUUUUUAUUGGAUUUAUUUUGGGGGACUAUUUUUAUUGGUUUUUUUUAAGAAACAAGAAAGGAAUUCUAACCACUAUGAAAAUUUCAAAAUGAUCUUAUGA